GCCUUAUGAUGAAAAUUACCCAGUUCUGCUACUGAUUGCAAGUGAUGACCAUUCAAAUUCUGAAGGC